ACUUGCUAUUUCAGGAUCCUAAUCACAGUUUGCUCUGUCAAAGAAAAUCCCCAAGGCUUUUGUUUUUAAACCUGGGAUAACUAUAACAACAUACCUAUUGUCCGAAAGAUUGUUUCGACUACAGAAAUUGACAUUUGUCCUUGUUAAACUUUAGUUCAAUGACUUAGGCCUGGCAUGCUAGACACUCAUGAGCCAUUACCUAUUCAUUCUGUUCAAUCUACCACCCACUUUUGGUUUAUCUCAAAAAAAAAAAAAAUGCUAAGUGUGCCCUACCUCCUUAAAAAGUCUUAGAGAGGUAAGUAAACAGGAUGGUGGGUCAGUAUUCAAAUGUUCUUCCUCUGGCAACCGAAAUGCAUGGGUUCUCAGAGCUCUGUCUCAGGAGGUCUCCUCUCCUACUACCUGACCUCAGGGGAUGAUCUUAACUACCUACCAUCACAUAUCCUAAGCACUUCCAAAACCAGAUUGCAAAGUCAAAACCCCCUCCAGAGAUUACAUCUGUAUCUCUGUCUCCAGUAUUCCCUAUGUAUCUCAAACUCAAAAGUGAGUAAAAACCUGAGAUCAUAAUCAUUUCAAUAACAAAUACCUAUUGAAUACCUAGGAGAUGUGGGUAAAACAAAGUCUUGUGAACCUAUAUUCUGAGGGAAGACAAACUAUGAAAAUAGAAGUGGAUGUUUAACUUAAUUCUAAGUAAAUACUAGGAUGAAAACAAGCAGAACGAGCAUAUAAUUAGCUCCUGGGGGCAGAAGAAGGCCUAUUUAAGACAGAAUGAUCAGAGAAGGCCUCACUCAGACUAUUUUGAACAGAGACCAGACAGUGCCUCUAACAAAAGAGUCUUCUAUAGAUCCUGAGGGGGACUUAGGGAGCAUGUCUGAGGAACUACAGAGAGGCCAGGUUGGUGACAACAGACUAUGUGAAUAGAAGGCUGACAGAAAUGAGGUCACAAAGGAAGCUAGUAGAUAGAUCACAUAAGGCCGUGUAGGACCUGGUAAGAAACAGGAGUUUUAUUCUAUGCGUAAUGAGUAGGAGAGGUUUUAAGCAGAAGAGUACAUAAUCUGACUUUUGGUUUAAAAGUCUCAACCUUGGUGGAUAUGGAUUUAACAAGCUACCUGGGUCAGGAAAGAGGACAGAAUUCUGAGUUAAGAAGUAACUGUAGUCAUCUAGGAAAGAGAUCAGGAAUAUUUAAACUAAGGAGGAAGUGAAUCCACCAGCAACAGUGCCCGCUGGCAGGCAUUAUGGCUUAAUUCUCCCAGGAAACCCUGGCUGAGAACGUCUACGGGAUCAAGUCUAAUCUCCUCAAAAUGAAACAGAAGAUCAUUUACAUGCCAUAGACGUCUCCACCUUACUUCUUGAGACUUCUCUUCCCUUCUUCCUAUAUCAAGCUACCUACAAUUUCCUUAAUGCUGAGCCUAUUUCCAACUUCUUUCUUUGGAAUUCCCUUGGAGUCUCUGUGGUAGUAUCUACUAAUCUUUAUCAAAGUGGAAGCAUGAUCUUAUCCAUGAAACGCUUCCUCCUAUUCCCUAAUGCAGAACCGAGGUCUUCCUUCUUGAUACUCAAGAAUGUAAAGGAAAACACGAACAUGAGGAAAAGUGCUUAAAAAAAAAAGGAAAAGGCCUAAGUGAACCUUAUAGAGAUGAAAAAUACAGUAUAUGAAAGGAAACAUUGUGCUGAAUUGGAUUUGUGGCAAAUCAGACCCUUCAGAAGAACCAAUGGUCAACCGGAAGUCACAGCAAUAAAAUAUAUCCAAUUUGAAGCAGUGAGAGGAAAAAAAAGACUUAAAAAAUAAUUCAAUUCUCUCUGAGACAAUAUGAAGUAGUACAAUACAUGCACGCUGGACUCUAAUCAGGAGAGGAGAAAGAGACACAGGAAAAAAUUUUCAGCAAUAAAAACCCAAAAUGUUCCAAGCUUGAUAAAACCCUAUAACCAAAGCAGCUCCAAGACUCCAAGCAGGGUGCACAUAAACACACACACACACACACACACACACACACACACACACA